UGCAGUGUUAAUUCUUGACUAUGGCAUGUAUCACAUGUAAGCCCCUUUUCAAUGCAUGGCAGUUUGUUUGUACUGAUUGUAACUUUAUCCUAUAUGCAGAUUUGAGGCCAGAGCCAGCCAUCAUAACCACAAGAUAUGCAAGUCUUUGCUUGUGAUGAACCUCUCAUCAACAGCAAUCUCAGUGUCAUCGCUGGGAUAAACAGCAUCCCGUUUUUGGAUGAAGAAAUUACCAAAGUCGAUCAAGUUCUUCCCCUGUCUUUAAAUGUCCUCGUGUAUGCCCAUGUGAGUGUGGGUGUAUUCACGAGGGCCCCCCUUUUUUGCUAGCCCGCCUGGUGGAACUCUUCUCAUCAGAGGAUGAAGCACAUGUGGAUGCUUGGCUGCAUUUCCAGGCGUCAAGAUAACCGGUUGUUUUUCCAUUGGCAAUUCAUCCGUCACGUGCAGCUCUGAUCUGGUAACACUCUCCCACUAAACGAUGUUGGGAGUUUCCGUCUCGUCCUUGAAUUAUGCCUUUCUCUUCGUGCCGAAGGCGAAGAUUUUUCUACCGAUGGGCGAGAACUGGCCAGAAUCAUCACUGAAAUAAAAAUAGAGAAAUCGCUUUCACGAAUCUCUUUAGGGCUCACGAUGACCAUCAACACUAGACAAAGAAUGUAGAGGCGAUCGACAAGAGCAUCAUUGUUUACGCCGUGGGUAACUUGGCUAUAGCUAUUGACACCAUUUCGUGUUUGAAUCAGAAAAAGCUCGAAGUGUUUCCCUUUAUAUUGCCCACAUGGACAACAAAUAAUCUCUCCUCUUCAAAAUGUGACUAUUGUUAAACUUUCUCCGAUGAGGGCGGUUCGACAAAGAUUCGAUAACGGACUUUCUUCGUUCGCAAAUAGCUGAAAGUGUUGUCAAACUCGAAGACAUCUGCUCGGUGACAAAUAGAACGCAUUAUUACACUAAUCGUGAUAAUAAAGCGUGUGAUGGGUCACUCACAUUUGCCUGGCUCGUCACAGGUCAUCUGACCUUCUUCCAUAGCCAAAUGGCUAUCAACUCGACACGGUAAAACCAAAUCCUCUUCAUUCCCUUUGGCAUUUUUGGUGUAAACUCGGAAUCGGAUGUCACCUCCUUCCGUCAUGAAUUCCCAUCUGUUUAAUUCACACAUUUAAGUUGGUUAUUAUAUUAUUAUUAUUCAUUACAUUGACGACUAACUUUAGAAUAGAAGAAGCGACAUCAACUUUGUAUUUCAUUUUCUUUCGACCACCAGCGCCGGCGAUGAUUGUCAUGGUUUCCAUGUAGUCCUUAGCAACGGGUCCGUUAUUGCUCAGGUAAUACGAAGCAGGUACUUCACCUCCCAUAUUGAACUGUCUCUCCACAUCAACAAUUGUUUGCGUAACUCAAUAAUUCUCAGUUAAGAUUGUAUUACCUUGCUGGGGCAUUUGGGGUUGCCAUCGGGAUCGGUUAAGGUCCCGCCGUAAUACGAUGGCACGUAUUCAGCUUCGAUUUCGUCCAGUAAAGCGGAUGUCCACUCAUUUUUGUCGUUACCGUAUAUCUUGAUUUUCGGGAUGUCGGCCGGUGAUAGAAUCGGUUUGACUAAGGCGAAAAGCAGAUGGAAUACUUUGGGUGCUGUAAAAUUAAUAAAGUAAUUAAGGGCGAUGAAGAUGGACACAACACAUUAUUAUUAAUGAUGUACCAUUGACGACAAAUACUCGACGAAAAGAUUUCGGGUAAUUGAUUAGGUAUGUUCUGAUCAUAUCCAAAAGAGCCUCUAGCACUUUAUGUUGUAAAAAUCGUUGUGAAUUGUGUAAUGCUUGCAAUGACACUUGAAAUGUAUGUCUGAAUAUACCUUGUUUGCUAGC